rnacentral:ncRNA from 1 species
UUCGAGUUAUUGGGCGAAUAAUUCACAAAGACGAACCCGCGCGCCUGGUCGAUCGUGUGAAAGAGCGGGUUCCAGUCGAACAUCCGCAGCAUGUAGCCCGGCAGCAUGUUGGCCACGAACAUCUUGCCCGAGGCGAUCAUGUUGGCCCGCUG